UCACCACUCUUUCACUUUUCCAAAAAGAAACACCGUGUAUUGUGUAUUUCUUCAUUCUCAUUUCAUAAAAAAUAAAAGCUUUCCUCAUUCCCAUCUUUUUCUCUUAGAAGUGAACAGAUAAGCUCAAUUUUCUCCACAUCUACAGUGAGCGGGAACGAUGGUUAGGGAAAAAUCAGGAAGUGUUGGAGGAAAUUCCGCAACCACCUUCUCUCCAUGUUAUUUUUGAAGAAAAUCAGCUAAGAAGAGAUCUAAUUAGAUCUUGAAUGUAAAUAUGAAGAAUAUACCGUUCAACAACGUACAGAGCAAGUAGAAGUUCAAGAUGACUUUCACUUUAGUUAGGGGUUUAAAUUAAGGACAAUGUCAUAUCAUUUGUUUUUUUUUUGUAAUUCUUCUCCUUUUUAGGAGUUCAUAAAGAUAUUUUAUGCUACUGGAAUAAGAUAUAUCUUUCUUUAGUUAGUUUUUUUGUAUUAAGCAGGAGACUUUCUAUAAUGAAUUCAAUUAUUUAGUUUAUUUUGAGUGUUUUUGUAUUUACUUUAUAGAAUUUUGUAUAAUAAUGAAUGAAAUUGGUUCCUUUAAA